CGGACGGGUGAGUAACACGUGGAUAACCUACCUAUAAGACUGGGAUAACUUCGGGAAACCGGAGCUAAUACCGGAUAAUAUAUUGAACCGCAUGGUUCAAUAGUGAAAGACGGUUUUGCUGUCACUUAUAGAUGGAUCCGCGCCGCAUUAGCUAGUUGGUAAGGUAACGGCCUACCAAGGCAACGAUGCGUAGCCGACCUGAGAGGGUGAUCGGCCACACUGGAACUGAGACACGGUCCAGACUCCUACGGGAGGCAGCAGGC
rnacentral:rRNA from 1 species